rnacentral:lncRNA from 1 species
AAUUGACCUUUAUUCCUUUUGAAUAUCUGGAUAUUUUAUUUUUUAAUGACUCCUUGCUGUAACCACAGGAUAAAAUGCUUGAAAAUGUCUUUAAUUUGGAGACAGUCUAGUGGGAAUCUGAACUCAGAUCAUCAAGGUGGCUGCUUUUUUCCCAUAUGGAAAAGCAGAAAUAAAGCUAGCUUGCAUUUCCUUCCUAGGUAGACUCCAGACAACUUUGAAUCAGGGUGUACACAUAUCCUCACCUCAGACAGUUAGGGGUUAGAUUUUGCUGGAAAAUGAGAUAAUAGUAAACUAGAGCAGGAGUUUCCCCUUUUAAGCUUAUUGUACAAAGUGCAGCAGGAGGAAAAGAGAACUUUCUGAUUCACAAA